rnacentral:rRNA from 1 species
CCUACGGGUGGCAGCAGUGGGGAAUAUUGGACAAUGGGGGCAACCCUGAUCCAGCCAUGCCGCGUGUGUGAAGAAGGCCCUCGGGUUGUAAAGCACUUUCAGUGAGGAAGAACGCCUGGUGGUUAAUACCCAUCAGGAAAGACAUCACUCACAGAAGAAGCACCGGCUAACUCCGUGCCAGCAGCCGCGGUAAUACGGAGGGUGCGAGCGUUAAUCGGAAUUACUGGGCGUAAAGCGCGCGUAGGAGGCUUGAUAAGCCGGUUGUGAAAGCCCCGGGCUCAACCUGGGAACGGCAUCCGGAACUGUCAAGCUAGAGUGCAGGAGAGGAAGGUAGAAUUCCCGGUGUAGCGGUGAAAUGCGUAGAGAUCGGGAGGAAUACCAGUGGCGAAGGCGGCCUUCUGGACUGACACUGACACUGAGGUGCGAAAGCGUGGGUAGCAAACAGGAUUAGAUACCCUUGUAGUC